UUAGUGGCGAACGGGUGAGUAACACGUGGGCAAUCUGCCCUGCACUCUGGGACAAGCCCUGGAAACGGGGUCUAAUACCGGAUACUGAUUGUCUUGGGCAUCCUUGAUGAUCGAAAGCUCCGGCGGUGCAGGAUGAGCCCGCGGCCUAUCAGCUUGUUGGUGAGGUAACGGCUCACCAAGGCGACGACGGGUAGCCGGCCUGAGAGGGCGACCGGCCACACUGGGACUGAGACACGGCCCAGACUCCUACGGGAGGCAGCAGUGGGGAAUAUUGCACAAUGGGCGAAAGCCUGAUGCAGCGACGCCGCGUGAGGGAUGACGGCCUUCGGGUUGUAAACCUCUUUCAGCAGGGAAGAAGCGAAAGUGACGGUACCUGCAGAAGAAGCGCCGGCUAACUACGUGCCAGCAGCCGCGGUAAUACGUAGGGCGCAAGCGUUGUCCGGAAUUAUUGGGCGUAAAGAGCUCGUAGGCGGCUUGUCGCGUCGGUUGUGAAAGCCCGGGGCUUAACCCCGGGUCUGCAGUCGAUACGGGCAGGCUAGAGUUCGGUAGGGGAGAUCGGAAUUCCUGGUGUAGCGGUGAAAUGCGCAGAUAU
rnacentral:rRNA from 1 species